rfam:Jatropha curcas cultivar GZQX0401 scaffold46_105, whole genome shotgun sequence.
UUGGUUGCCAUGAUUAUAAAAAAUUCCUCGUUCUGAAUGCUAUAGCCAUGGCAUGACAGACCCUUUUACACCCAUAGAAUAUGAGCACC